rnacentral:rRNA from 1 species
UACGGGGGGGGCAAGCGUUGUUCGGAAUUACUGGGCGUAAAGCGCACGUAGGCGGAUUGUUAAGUCGGGGGUGAAAUCCUGGAGCUCAACUCCAGAACUGCCUUCGAUACUGGCGAUCUAGAGUCCGGGAGAGGUGAGUGGAACUGCGAGUGUAGAGGUGAAAUUCGUAGAUAUUCGCAAGAACACCAGUGGCGAAGGCGGCUCACUGGCCCGGUACUGACGCUGAGGUGCGAAAGCGUGGGGAGCAAACAGG